AGAGUUUGAUCCUGGCUCAGGAUGAACGCUGGCGGCGUGCUUAACACAUGCAAGUCGAGCGAAGCAUUUUUAAGGAAGUUUUCGGAUGGAAUUAAAAAUGACUGAGCGGCGGACGGGUGAGUAACGCGUGGGUAACCUGCCUCAUACAGGGGGAUAACAGUUGGAAACGACUGCUAAUACCGCAUAAGCGCACAGUGUCA
rnacentral:rRNA from 1 species